UAAUAAUAAGCUUAUAAUGGAAAUCAGAAUGUUGGCUUCUACAAAGCCAACAUAACUAGAUUUGUAAAGAUCGUCAUGACAAACUUUGAUGUUGGCUUUGACGAUGCAAGUAUCGACCUUUUUGGAGGCAUGUGGACAUAAGGGUUAGUGUUACUUUUGGAGGCAAGUGGACAGAAAGCUAGGUUGCCAAAACAUUUGGAGGUAAGUGGAGACGAGCAUGUGACAUUGUAACAGGUCUAGCCUGUUACUAGUUGUUCUAUUCCUUACCUAUAGGGGGCAACCUUGAUGUUGAAUAUUUAUAAGGGGAUAGACUAGUAAAGGAAAAGAAAAUGGCUUCCACCCGAGUCUAGGUUUAUGUUGGCUUCAGUGAAAGGCCUCUUAAUGGGAAACAGUUGUUUCUAUUGCCAUUAAGGGCCUCUUGUGUCACCCCCAUUGCAUACUUAAAAGUAUAACAUGGACAAUGGAUUAAAAUGGUGACUGGAGAAUGCAGCUACCUUAUUUGAGGAGGUGGUGAUGGAUAUGCCGUAAAGCACUCAGAAGACAACACAAUACGGAUAAGCUUAACAAUUCCUUGCAAGAACCCUUUUGCUUUCGUCUUCAGUGUUGUGAGCCUCUUUAAAACUGGACAUCUACCCUAGAUAAGAGUGCUUUUGUUUUACAGUUGGAAUUUCUAAGAUAUGUUGUUCAAUGACUUGUGUCACAUUGUAAUGUGUACUGUGGUAUCAUAUACAAUGAGGGUAAAGUAAAUGAGAGUUCAUAUAAAUAACUCUAAGCAAAGAGAUCGUUUUCUGGCUGCCUUAUUUUAAUGAGUGGUCUGGAUCAUCACUUAUGUGAAGUCCCCCCCCCCCCCCAAUUCAGAUAUAUAGCUAGCUUUGAGUUAAGUUUGAUCAGAGAGGUUAUAACAUCAUCCGAAUACUCUUGAGGAAGUUCCACACAUUGGGCUGAGUGUUUUGAUAUGUCACAUGUCCAUGUUGUGCUAAUUAUUGAUUUUCACGUGACGUCAUGUGACAUGAUCAGAAUACAUAGGCAGUGAGGCAGUUUCCCUCAUUGUGCUGUGUGUUUUGAGAAUGUUGGCUUCUACAAAGCCAACAUAUUAAGCUUAUAACGGAAAUCAGAAUGUUGGCUUCUACAAAGCCAACAUAAUAAGCUUAUGUCGGAAAUCUACAAAGCCAACAUAAUAAUAAUAAGCUUAUAACGGAAAUCGGAAUGUUGGCUUCUACAAAGCCAACUUAACAAGAUCAGAAAUUUAUCUGAUGUAUUUUCUUAAAUAAGAGCUGAAUAUUUAAUGGGGUUGUCUAAAUUUUUUCACAUGACUGUAUAUACUGUAUGUGCACCAUAUAUGCGAUUGUUGUGGACAGACAGCGAGCACAUCGCAGCAAAUUGGGGAAGCAAAAGCAUGGCAAAAUCCCUGCAUCCCUUCAGAGAACAGCCAGAAACUCCUUACCCUUCAAGAGAGAGCAACUCAGUCGUGCUGGGUGUGGCAUUUCUAACCAGGAAAGGGGCUUAGGUAUGUGAAACAUGUGAUGUGUCUAUGCUGUGCUUUACAGAUUCUCCCGGGGGAAUGACUGAUGGACUGCCAGAUUUGGGUCAAUUCCACACUGCCUCUGCCUGGCUGAGAGCUGCUACCACUGCCCAAGAUACGCUAACGCAGCAGAUGGAGCAUGUAUUCAAGCACCUCCAGGAAGCAAGUUUGUAGCAGCAUUUCAUGACCCAAGAGCUGGCCCACAGUGUGCAUACCACAGAGCUAAAUGCAUUAAAGCAGCUUUCUUUGCUGCUGCCACUUCUCUCCCUGAGCCUGACUGAGCCCUCAGGACCCAGCUCACAAAAAUGACUGCAGAAGACGAAUUUCAGGCAUAUCUUCAUUCUUUUGAACGUGUCGCCCACCAAACAUUUUGUGACAAGAUGCAUUUUCAUCCUGAAAAACGAAUUCAUCAUCACCAAAUUUAUUUUCUGAAAAGUGUCAAAAUUUCAAUGUACACCUGUGCAUUGACUGUUGAGGUAAUGAUUGCCAUCGCCCCUGGUGCUUUACCUUACAUGCAAUCCCAUAUCAUAAAUGAGGAAAUUUGAUUGUUUUUGUUAGGCAGUUAUCUUUAUACAUUUCAUUAGAAUGGCACCAGACAAAGGUUCCAGCAUCAUCUCUUGGCCAAUGCUGAUUCAUGACUGAAUAUCACUUUCAUCCAAUCAUCUACACUCCAUGAUUUCUUCUCCUUAGCCCAAUGUAACCUUGUUUUCAUUCAGCCAGUUUCAAUUUUUUGUGCAUUUUCUGGUUUCAAGGCAUAUUGUUUUGAGUUUUCUAUCCUGCUUUGAUGUCUUCCUUGGUCUAUCUACGUUUGCCUUUUAUAAUCUUCCCAUUCACUUUAUACUUGCACCAUAUUUUAGACAGAGCUGACUGGGAGCAACCAACUUGUUUGGCCACACUUCGUGUUGAGAUACCUUGAAUGAGUUUUAUGAUCCUUUCCACUGUUUCAACUGACAACUCUUUCGUUGGAACCAUGUUUCCUUUCAAUUAGCCAAGUCCAACAGUAAUAGUAAAUAGUAAGGAGGAUACACACCUCUGUAUUGCCCAGUGAUGCUGCAGCUCGAAUGCCUCAUGUCAGGGGAUGUCUCUCUUCAGAAACCGGGUUGUAACAUCCUGAAAUACUGAGGUACUCCUUUUAUGUCACGUAUUAUGAUGGAUCUGUGUCGUCUGUUGUAGGUGAUGCACCUGAGGAUGUAAGAUGUAAACUGGGACAAAUCUCUAUGCCAGAUUUUUUUUUUUUUUUUUUAUUCGGGGAUAGAGUAGUUUUGUUAUCUGGGCACAUAGUAUUACCAAUGAGAAUAAGUCUUUCCUCAAAAAAUGGGCAUGGAAGGAAAUUAACAUUCAGACAGGUUGUAGACUUGUGCCUUUCUGAAAGCUAACUGUUGGAAGGCAGUAAUAUUUUGGAGGUAAUACUGUGAAUAAAUUUAGGUGGGGUGAAUUAAGGGACCUUAUUUGAUGUAGUAUAUGCCAACAAAUUAAGCUGAGGACUUUUCAGUCCCCAGUUUUGUUUUGUUUUUUGGAAGAAUUCUUCUGAAAAGAAUUAAUAAUAAUAAUAAUAAUAAUAAUAAUAAUAAUAAUAAUAAGCACAGCAGUGAUGUGGCAAGGAAAAACUCCUUAACACAAUAUUAAAAACAAACCAUUAGAGCAGGGGAUUUUUUUUUAUUGCAAAAGGCUUUCACUUUUCAAAAACCAAAUGAAUGAUACACGAUGAUGUUGAAGAUCUUAAUAAAGAACAAGAAGUUUAUUCCAGCAUAGCAGUGACAAAAUACAUGGCAUACUUUGGGUUCAUCGGAGUUGGUCAGAACCCAGAGCAAAUUAUGCU